AUCAUGCUCAGCUGGAACAUGAUGAGGAUUAAAAAUGCAACAUGAUAGUGGACCGAUCUUUCGCCUUCCCAGCCAUAACUGUGCGGACGCUGGCACACAAAUUGAGGCUGACGAGGAAUGAUAUAUUUCUACAAAAACCCUCGAGAAAUGUGUGAACUGGCUUUCCUGCUGAUUUGGAUUAUGUCACAGGAGAUGAAGUGCCAAUUUUUGCAUGUCCUGACGAAACCAGAAACCUGCGCACAAACCAGAGGACUCGUGGCUCUGUGGUUCCAACAUGUCAUACCAACAAGGCCUUUCGAAGUCCUUGUGUUAAUGACUGCAGCACAUUGUGAAGUGUCUAAGAGCUUCAUAUGAGACACAACCCAGAAUCUACGUCCAGGAGUUGAAGGAAGCACCUUUAACAGCAAAGAAAACAUGUUCCUGAGCCUGUAUAAUCAAUAGUUUAUAUUCCGUCACAGUUUUGGUUGGAGAACUGUAUUGCAGAAUUUGAGAGGUUCAAAAUUUUGGAGGUGAGUUGCAUUUAGUUUAUGCAAUGUUUCACAACAUAUUGAAAUAAAAUCAAACUAAAUUUGAAUUCCCCACCAUUCUGUUGGCUAUGUCCCCCACCUCCUCCACCCUCUACUGUUGGAGGCAGUUUGUGUUUGGGUACCAGUUUCUGGAAACCCCAGGAAGGAUGAGUGCUGUUGUGCUCAGGUUCUCCUUGUGAGCUUCCUCUAGGCAUCUGAUUCACCACUGUGAGGACAAGAUGUGGUCUACAUGGGCUACUGGCCUGAUCCAGCAGGAUCUUCUCAUGUUCUUGCAUGAUCCCUAGCUGUGGCUUAGUUUGCCAGUCACUAGUGACCUGAACCAAAGCUGUGGUUCUAGUUUCAUAGUGUUUUUAGGCCAUUGAAACUAAUAGAGCUAAGCAACAGAGGCAGCGCUUCACAUGAUGAAUGGGGAACCAGAUAACCCAAGUCAGUUUGGAGCCAUUAGCCCAGGGUAGCUCAGUUAUCCUUCAUCAUGCAGAGCACUGCUUCUAAAGACUCUCAUUCAUUGCAAGUCCAAAGCUGGGCGCAAAGGCAUGACAAGUUUAAUACGGCGUCUGUAUCUCGUCACACCUCUCCUUCAAGAAGGUCGUGAAUACCUGUUUGUCUAAGUGCAUCGAGGGAUGCCUGCAGUGUGUAAUGGGAAUAAUUUCCACUGUAAAUGCAGGGAGGAAAAGUUUAAUUUAAGCACAGUCUUUCCAAUUAUGUGUAAAUGGCAGGAAAUCUGCUUCCAUGCCCUCUUCGCUCCAGCUGAAAUGACUUUAUAGUGUGUGUUCUCAACAUAAAGGUUUAUUGGGCUGCAAACUGUCCACUGCUGCCGUCCGCUGGCGGGGAUUGUGCUGUUCAAUUCCAGCAUAAAAUGCCUUGGUGCUGAUGAUGAACAACGCCAAAAACAGCACGGCGCGGAAUUUCAUGGGAUGACCAGAGGAAUUUCUGCUAUUGCAAUAUAUGCGAAAAUGGAAGCGGAAGCCACAUCAAAAGGACUUGAGAUUGCCAAGUGAAGCCUGAGCUACUUCCCUACUGAUGAAUCCCUAAUAAAAAUUAUCUGGAAAUUGACUUGGCGUGUACCACAUGCUACACCUUGAACAUGAGU